rnacentral:tRNA from 1 species
GCGGAGAUAGCUCAGCUGGGAGAUCGUCAGACUGAAGAUCUGAAGGUCGCGUGUUCGAUCCACGCUCACCGCA